rnacentral:rRNA from 1 species
UACGUAGGGGGCAAGCGUUGUCCGGAUUUAUUGGGCGUAAAGAGCGUGUAGGCGGCCAGACAAGUCUGCUGUGAAAACUCGAGGCUCAACCUCGAGCUGUCGGUGGAAACUGUCUGGCUAGAGUCCGGAAGAGGAGAGUGGAAUUCCUGGUGUAGCGGCGAAAUGCGCAGAUAUCAGGAAGAACACCUAUGGCGAAGGCAGCUCUCUGGGACGGUACUGACGCUGAGACGCGAAAGCGUGGGGAGCGAACAGG